rnacentral:lncRNA from 1 species
AGGAUUCUUAGGUUUGGGUUUUGGUGCUUCUUCCUCUUCCCCAACAGGAGCCUCUUUGGGCUUUGCUGGCUCCUUGACUUCUUUCUUUGGUUCAUCCUUGUGCUUUGGUUUGGCAUGUUCUUUUGGCAGGGCAGGCUUCUUUGCAGACGAAACAGGUGGGACUGAUGCAGUUUGCUUUACCUCACCCAAGAUCUUGCUGAAAUUUGGUUGAUUAACCAUGGUCCAGAAGUAUCUCUCAAGAUGAGGGAACUCCGAGGUCUCUUAGUCAUGAGCUGACUGAAUCCCGUAUACAAAUUGCAUGUCAUGACAAUGUCAGCCAGGGUGACAGAAUGCCCCACCAGGAAAGUGUUUGAAGCAAGAUGUGUGUUCAAAGCACCUAAUGCUCUCUUCAACGCAGCAAUUGCAGCCUCCUCAAACUAUACACAGAAAACUAUGAUCAGGAAGGAUUAAACAAUCAAGGAGCUAAACUGGAAAGCAAAAUGGUAGAAUGCAUUUUUGAUUUAAGAACAUUAAAAUUUUUGUGAAGAAUAAUAGAUUAAAGAACAAUAUUACAACUACAAAUGAACCGUAAAAAUGUCUUUACUUAGGAGUAUAGUUUAUCAUUAUGUCAUAGUAAAUGACACAUGAAAAAUGAAUCAUUCCAUUAAUUUGUGAUCACAUGGGAAGGCACAUGUCCAUCCUCUCAAGAGAAGUCCCUGUGCCAUCACCAGCAUUGUGGGAACAAAAAAAGAAGAAAUCCAUGUUUGGUUUCUGCAUAUAAAAAGGAAAUAGACAGGGAACACAAGAAACAUUGAAAUAAAUAUCUGUCUCCUGAGCAAAGAGACAUUGAAGGAAACAAAAGAAGCUACAAACAAUGCAAUUAUGAAAGGUAUUUUCUUUGGCACCCCCUUUCUUUGGGGCUCAUUUAAUAGAGUUGCUCUGUUUGCAAUUAAAAGAAAAUCAAAAGGUAAUUCUUCACCUUCCUGUUAACAUUGCACAUACUAUCACUUCAUGGCAAUUAUUGAAUGCUGCUAAAGCUGUGUUUCACAAUAAUAUGCUUUGAGAUCACCCUAACUUGGAGAAAAACAAAAUCAUUUGCAUGGAGGUGUAAAGAGAAAAACAUGACAAUUUUUUUUUUAAAAUAUAAGUUUUCCAUUAUCCAGGAACCUUCAAGAAUAGAAACUCUGGGUCAAAUGAUUCUGUGGAAACUAUUUCUUUAUUUGAAUUGAGCUUUCAGGUUUCAGAAAAUAAAAACAAAAAGCAACAUAACUUUCAAAGUUCUCUUUUCCUUCUUCUUACAGAAAUCAAACCGAGUGACUUGGUAAAAUUACCAAAAUUUCAAAAUUUUCAACAUAUGUGACCCAAAAUAAAGAAGACCCUCCAGUACCAGUUGGCUUAUUUGAAUUAUUCAAAACCCAAAGAAAGGUCCAAAAUUUUCUUCUCUUUCUCCUCUUCUCUCAGCAAUUAUGAAUCUUUAAGACUUCCCAAUGUACGCCACUACCAUGCCCCGUAGCCGAGAUUAAAUGUUCAAUUAUUUAACCAACAAACCGACACCAGGAAAAAUAAAAAAUAAAACAAAAACAAAACAAAGGAACGUUUUAUUUUCUCUAAUUUUCCUCAAUUUUCUCAGCAACCAAACCGAUGGCACAAGCAAUCGCAGUGUGUAAAAAAUCCGAUCCGCAAACCAACUUAUCAAUCCAAAGAGCUUUCACAAAGAAGGAAAAAAAAAAAAGAUACGCGGUAUAGAAUUACAACCCUAACAAAAAAUGAAAAGCAUAAUUUGAGGUUAGAGCACAAAUAAUAAUAAUAAUAAUAAUUUCAGAAAAUUAUUCCCAACAAAAAAAAAAAAAAACAACAACAACUCUAAUUCCAAAAUUGGAUCUGAAUUAGGUCCAAAAGCAUACAACGGUAACAAACAUCAUGAAAUUUGUCCGAAAAAAAUGGUUUCAGAAACAGAAAGGACAAUCAAAAUGACCUGUACAUAACUGUUGAAAUUUGGAUUCGGAAGAGAGAGAUAGAUCUGAGAGACGAACCUGAAAAGAAUUGCAGAGAAAUCGAAGAGACCAACAACAGGAUUUGCAGAGAUCUCCGGCUCGAAGCUUCCAUCAUCCCUCUCUACUUUCUCUCUCUAAAGCCCUCUCUCUCUUUCUCAGUGUUUUAAAAACCGGACCGGAGCGGCCGGUCCAACCGACGACCGGUCGCAAUUCCGCUCCGGUUUACCCUAUUAGACCGUUUUAACAUUGAACCUGACGCCUAAACCAACUGUCGGACCGGUAAACCGAUAACACCAGAGAGUUCCAAACGAACCGAACGGAACAAGUUGGCCCAUCAUUUUGCAUGCGACCCCAUUAUGUAAAAACUGUAAGCAAAUACCCAUACUGGUCCAUGACUUAAUAUGACAGAACCCACACCCAGACCUUUUAAGUGGGCUGAGCCUUGAGCCCACAAUAUGGGCUUACUGUUGCUUUCAACGAGGAUACCUUCUAUAGGCAUCCUUUGCACCCUUAUUUCUCUCACAAUCCGAUGUGGGAUUCCAAACUAAUAUGAUAUAAUCAAUGAAAAAAAUUAACAAAUGGAGGAAUACGCUUUUUGUAGUAUUCCUCCCAUUUUUUGCUUUAUUUCCUGGUAGGUACUAAAUUAUAUGAAAAAUGUGAUUAAAAUAUUAAAUUAUAAUAAUUAUAAAAUAAUGAAAAAUAUAACUAAAAUACAAAAAAUAUUAUUGAAAUUUAAAAGAUUUAAUUAUUGUACAAAAUAGACUUUAUGCAUUUUUUGAUAUCCUAAAAUUAUUUUUAAAAAUAUAAAUAAAUUUUUUAAACUUUUUUUCUAUUUUUUUAAUGUAAUUUUAUUUUUUUGUUUUGAUCUUAAAAAAAAACAUAUUUGAGAACCAAAAACCGUUUUUUGUUUUUAAGAAUAUAAAAUAGUGUGUUUUUAAAGAACAUCUUUUGGUUGUUUUCUAUUAUUUUUACUUAUUUUUGGUUAUUUUAAAAACUAAUUAUAUAAACAUGUAAAAUAAUUAAAAAUAAAGUAUUGGAUACAAGAAUGAUUUUUGAAACUUAUUUAAAAAUAUUAAAAAGAGGUUAAAAACAUUUCGAAUUUUUAAACAGACUUUUAUUUUAUAAAAUAUCAUAGAGCAAUUUUCAAAUAUUCUCAUAAAUUAUUUUUCAUAACUAUUUUCAAAAAGAGUUACCGGAGUUUUUAAAUAACUUAAUUUAAGGUUUUUCAAAAUUUAAUUUUUUUAAAGACUAUAGCCUUGUUUGGUAAUUGUUUUUUAGAAUGGUUUUUCAUUCUUCACAAAAAAAAAAAAAAAAAAAAAAAAAGCAAAACAUGUUUAAUAGCUAUAACAUUAUUUUUAUAAAAUAUCUUUUAAUUAUUUAUAAUUUUUUUUAGGAUUGUUUAAAAAAAUAAUUAUACAAACAUGUAUGGUGAUUAAAAAUAAGACAUUAAAUAUAAAAAUUGCUUUUAUAAUUGUAGACCCCAAAUGGGCUCAUUUGCAUGCAGUUCAUUUUGCCAGGUGCUAGGAUUGGAGUUAGCCACGUGUCGACUCCUAAGAGGCCAUGAGAGAAUCAUAAUAGUGGUUUGUUGAGAGCUAUCGGAGGAUGACACCUUGUGGACCCCGCAUUUUCGGCUUAUGCGUUUCCCACUCGAAUGGCGAGCUCGAUUUUUAUUUGAAAAUAAUUUUUAUUUAUUAAAAAGAAAUGACUUGGAGUCGCCACUUAUUUUUGUUUUAUUUUUAAAGGGUAAACAAAAUAAGAAAGAAAAACCCUAAGUGUGACUCCUUAUUUUGGAAAAGGCGGUCUGUGAAAAACAGGAUCGGGUUCGGGGGUCAGGUUACUUAUCGGGAAGGUACGGUAAAGACCAUAGCACCCCUCUAAGUCCCUAAAGUCGGGUCUCUACUAAUAAAAUGAAGCUGACGUGACAAUUGAUGUGUAAAUCAGAGAAUACCUAAAAUGAUUAUGCAUGUAUGAAAAUCAGAACACUCAAUGAAGAAUGAUUAAAGUGAGAGCAGGGCGUACCUUAGCAUCAAACGAUCAAUGUGCUAUCACAAAAAGUUGGGUCAGUGUACAAUAAAGAGCAUAAACAUAGCUCACAUAUCACUAAAUCGAGCACAAAAGUCAUCACAUGUCACAAUUCAUUCAAAUUGAUUUUUAUUUUAAAGAAAAUUCUUUGAUGUAGGGCCCCCACCAAAGCCCGCUGAUUUUUGCAUGAAUUAAUUCCAUAAAUUCCAUUAUUCGGAAUUAUGGAAUUUAAAUUCAUGUUUAUUUUAAAACGUUUUAAAAUCAUGAAAAAUUCGAAAGUAGCUCGUCGAAAAGAAAAUGGCGGCCAAAUUUUAUUGAAAAACGGAUUUUUGGAACCUAAAACUCUAAAGAUGAGGGAUUUGAUGAUUUGAAGUCGUUUUUUUUUUUAAAAAAAAAAUAAAAUAAAAUAAUAAUAAUAAUAAUGACAUAAGCUAGAAAAUCAUUUGAAAACGGAGUUAGGAAAUUAUUUUUGAAAACAAAGGGAAAGAGUUUUGGGGGGUGGCACGUGGCUCAGAAAGGUGGCCAUGCAAGCUAAAGUCAUGAAAGUGGGUCCGGAAUAUAAGUGCUAAGGAUGGGAAUAGAUUUAUGCACUCCCCCUGCUUUAGAUCCAAGUAGACAAUACACGGCUGUCGAGGAAAUUCAAACUCCACAACCUUGACCGAACGAUACUUGUAGGCCCGCUCCACGAAGCAAUGGUAGAUGAGGGCAGUGUCCUCUGCAGCCAGGCCUCGCUGCCGAUGAGGGGCAUCGGCCUUGAAAAAUGGAGCUUCCAGCACAGCCUUGGAUGUAAGGUCUUGAUCAAAGUCAUUGCAGGUUAGAACCUUCUUAAGCUUUCUGCAUGUCACAUAGGAGAACUGGAUGAAGCAGCCUAGGCGCGUACCAAGGAUUUCAUGUCGCUCCUCCAAUUUUGGGUACUGAGCCCAGGCCCACUUCGACACAAAAUCAUACACUGCAUCCUCUGAUGCAACCUGGAGAUCAUCACUGGACAAAACUGCUUCGAUCUUGACAAGGGGUAAGGCCAUCGCCUCUUCCUGAAACUUGGUUGUGUCUUUGUAACGACUAGCAAGGUAUUGCUUGGUUGCAUCUGUCAAAGGCUCAACUGUCUCAACCAUUAGGGCACUAAAAGGAAGCUCUAGACAGAGCAAUGCAGAUUCAGGUAUCAUGGAUAAGUUCCUUAAGAGCCUGCUGCAGCUGCGAUUCAGGGACUCUCCACCGUUGAUUUCAUCAUCAUGUUUCGCUUCAGAAUUCUGGACGCCAUGGAUGGGAUAGAGAGAUUUGCGAUCUCAUCUCACCCAGUAUUCGGUGACUGCAAUGGUGCUGCAACUAGAUAACCCAAAAGUACUGAUAGAUUUCUGCAUCAUAUUCAGCAACUUCCAAGUGAUUGCAAGUGCCAUCCAUACUCGGUGACUUUUCCAACCUCCAUGAAUUCACCAUGCUCCUCCAAUUGGCUUGAUCUUGUCAUUGCUGCAGGUCUCCUAAAGCUACAACUGUUAUUCUCAUCGCUACCCGAGACAGAAUCUGAUGGGGUUGAAGUCCAUGAAGGAGAUGAAUGAUUCAUGAUGGAGUACACGAGACUUAAAUGUUCCCUCUUCUCUGUCACUCAAACCAGUUUUUUUUUUUUUUUUUUUAUGACAACAUCAGAAUUUUCGGUUUAUGCUGAAGGUGGGGAUAAUGGUUGUAGUGGUGAAAUAGUAUGCAUGAAGGCUAAAGGGCAUAGAAGAAUGAAUUAAUCCGUGAGAUUUAAAGAAAAAGCAGCAUGCUGGGAGGUUUGAGAAGGCUAAUAUGAAAGUGGUUAUGAGAAAAUGGGCAAAUGGAUAGCCAUGCGAGAGUAGGGUAAUGGUGGUUUCAUCAACACUCAUGCCAGCAUGGAAAGGCUCUUUCCUUAUUUUCAGCAGUACCGUGACCAGUGGGAGCCUGUUGUUGUCUGUGCUUUGCCACCAUAUUCUCCCUAAUUAUUACUUAAUGACAAUAUGAACCCGAUUUCAUACUUCCUUGCCUCACUCAAAACAAAAUCCCGGGCUUUGAGCACCUCUUCAUCAUAAAUAGAAAGAGACUUUCGAAAAGCUCUCCACUGGCCACCAUUGAAAACCCAAGUCCAGCACACAACCAAGUCCACAGAGGCUGCUUGUUGAAACACUUCAUUAACUUUCUCCUUUGUGGAUUGAUUCACGACAAAUACCAUCAACCAGUAAGUGUUGAACCCGUUCACAUAAAAAGGCUUAUCAUUAACCACAGAUUGGUUCCCUCUCUUCUGCACCAUUGUCCAUGGCUCACCUCCAAGAUCACUCAUCUCAUAAACCAAGUCUAACUCAAAUGAAAAUGGAAGUCGGCCCGUGCUGUGCCCGUUACAGCUUCAUAUUUAAGAGAGUCCAAACACGAAGAGCAGAGAGAAAAGUAGCAAAAAUAGAGCAAUGGUGGAAAAAAUAAGAUGAAGCAUUAAGAACUAUGCUUCGUUUCUUCAUUAGUGGGUUUGCAGAUGGGUGAAUUAAAAGGUCUUUUUCUUUCUUUAAAAUGCCACAAAGAAGGUAAAAAUGGAGUUAAAUCAAUUUUCAGCCAUAAACAGAAGCAAAAGGGGAGCAGUCAACCAUGAAGAACAGAGUAUAACCCAUCCAAAGAUCAACAUCAAUGCAUCUCAACAACAAUAUAUGAAGAGAAAAAGAAAGAACAAGAACACAGUGGAAAACUUACCCCUGAAAAAGAACCUGGAGGCCCUUUUCUUCUGGUUCUUGGUAACCUCCUCUACCCAAAACCGUCUCCUCUGAUUUCUCUGUUUUUCUUCCUAGUGUUUUCCUCUCCGCUCUCUCUGUCAAACUCCCCUCUGUAACCAGCCUGGAGACCCUAGUUCUCUCCCCAGCUUGCUCCUCAAGAAUGUCUCUCUAAGCUCUCCAAAAACUUACCUCUCUCCAACUCCUCUCCCUGUAACUAGCCUAGAGACCCCCCCCGUUCUCUUCCAAGCUCUCUCCCCUGUCUCUCUAACCCAAAAUAUCUCCAACGGCCGAGCACUCAAGACACCUCACACAGCUGCCUCUCUCCACUACCCUGCAGCUUAACGGUUUUCAGCUUUUCUGCUUAAUAUAUCUCCAUGUGUCAAGCUUCCAUUGGCCAUCAAAACCACUAACUUGAUUCUUUACUAGUCAAUCCGGAAGAGACACGUGGCUCCUUGAGAGCCUUCCACUGCAAAGAAAAACUUACAGCAAAUGUGACAAAACAUGAGCCCCUAAAUGGGGGUUUACACACCUGUAAAGGAGGGAGAUUCUAGAGAAGCGUUUUCGGUUAGCAGAGAGGGUACUUUUCAGGUGGGUUUUGGGAGAUAUUUUUAUAGAGUAUUCUUUGGCUUGAGGGGCAAGCCAGAGGUGGGAGAGGAGGAGCGUAUGAGAGGAUAGAAAGGGAGAUAUUUUUGGAGAGGUAAUCUUGCUGGUGGAGGAGGGAGUAUUCAUUGUUGUGAGGCAAGUAGGAGAAGUUAGAGAGAGAAUGCUAGAGGAGAAAAUGUGAAACAUAGAGGAAGUUUUCGAGAGCUUGAGAGGAUUUUGGAGAACAAGUUUUGCUAGAGAGGGAGAAGAGCGUAUUCAAUUUUCUCGGGGAGUGGGAUAUUCUGUUUUUUUUUUUGCUUGAGAUAUUUGGUUCCCUCGAGGAGCAAACUUGCCUAGAGGAAAAGACUGAGGAAAAAGAUAAUUGAGGAGAGGCAGAGGAAGGUUGCAUUGUUGACUUCCCGGUAAGGUCACCUUUAAGCUCGGUAUGUUUUAUUUCUCUCAACGUAUUGCUUCAUUUUUUGCUGAACAAUGAGCAUGGUUUCAUUGUUUUCUGUGGACAUCAAGGGCCACAGGGUUAUUUUGGUUGGACAUUCGUAUUUGCCUAAAAUACUCUGUUUUUGUUGCCUUUCAUACUUUUGAUCUUUUCCCCUGUAAUGGCGGGAUUCUCCUUUUGGGUUUGGGUUUGAUGUUUAAUAGUUGUAUUGAAGACUUCCCAUUUGUCCCACCGGUUUUGAGCUCAUUUAUCAUUCAUGAAACUUGGCUUUGCCUGAAUAUUCCUUGGAUCUUAUCAUUUUUUUUUUCACUCUGUUUUUAAGCUAUUUUAUCCUUCACACCUAUCUGCUCUCAUGAAACUAGUUGUGGAAAGUUUUGAUCCGCAUUUUACUACCUAAGACUAGUAGCACCGGUGGCUUUAUGAGAAUGAUGUUCCCUGAGAAAUGGUUCCAUGCUGAAGCUUUACUCAAUGCCAUUAUGAUCCCAGUCUCAUCAUUGCUCAGGCCGAUCCUGAUUGUAUUCUAUUCAUCAAGUUUGAUGUUGUUGGGGUUUGCUUAGAUAAGUUAGUUGGAGAGGUGUGAACACACAAGUCAAUUGCCAAAGAUAGAUUGACCAAGAAUCAUGCACAGACUGAAGCACAUAAGGCAGUAAUCACUCCGCAUCAGAAUUCUAUUAUUGGUUAAGUUGAAGUAGAUGUUGGCUGAGACAUGGACAUUCUUUCUACAUUUGGUGCUCGCGUUGGUACAGAAGGAGCACAGGCUGAGGAUGCAACUGAGAUGGUUAUCUAGAGUGAAUGGGUAUUACAUGCCAAGCUGGAAAGGAUCUGAUGGUCGCUACAAGGAGAAAAUAAAUUGUGUGGGAUUGAUUUAAUAAGAGUAGGAAAUAGUUGCCCAAAAAUCAUGAAGGAAGACAACGUAUGGUGGCUGCAUUUGUUAUGCAAUUACACACCCAAGGUCAGGUCUGGACAGAUUUGAUUUGGUGAUUACCCUUCGUCAUGAUUAUUAUCCCAUGACCCCUCAUGCAUAAAAACAAAUCCCUUGGUCUCUCUGGAAGGUGGAUGGCCCUUCAUGAACCUCCUGAUGAACAUGUGAUUCUGACUGUCAGGGUUUUUCAUCAAGUUGGUUUUACUACGCAUAGGAGUGUUGUUUCUGCCUGGCAUGACAAAUCGGUAUCUCUGCCCGGACUCUUAUUUGUGGUUUACAUUGGAGGACCUAUAAGUGUUGUUUAGAUGGGUAAUUUGGAUCUGUCUAUGUUAAGCCAUGUACAGUUGUAACUAAACAACAUUAGUUAGAAACCUGUAACUAACCUCUAACUAGUUGAUCAGUUCUAGUAUUGUUAGAUAAUCAAUUAUAAGGCAUAACUAACUUCAAACACAUGUAUAUAUGUUGAGUCACGGCUCACAAAAACUAGAGAUGAAUCUUAGAAAAUAAAGAAUUCAUAAGAUUUAAGAAUACUCUGUUCUACCCUGUUUUUCAGUUUUCAUUUCUUUCAGCUUUUCACUUCUCACAUGGUAACAGAGCAGACAACAAUGGCAGAUCACUCAACCAAUGUGACUCCAUUACAAGAUUCUGGAGAGGUUCCAAUUGCUGGAACUGGUCUGAUUACGGGACAAACUACAUCUCAGAUGACGAAUCAAUCAUUUCCAUCACUCGAUCAAUCCUUAUGGAGUUCUUUACAAUUGUUUACCUGAUUAUACAUCUCUUCGAAGUUUUGGAUGCUUGUGUUUUCCUUAUCUUCGCCCUUAUGCUUCUCACAAGCUAGCAAAUAGAUCUGUUGUUUGUUGUUUUUUGGGUUAUAGUGCUAAACACAAGGGAUUCCUCUGUUUGGAUGUGGCUUCCUCUCGGAUAUAUGCUUCCCGACAUGUUAUAUUUGAUGAAACUCAAUUUCCAUUUUUAACAAAAUCUUUAUCCUCUCAACCAGUAUCAUCAUCCAACUCCUCUUCAACACUUCUUGAUUAUGGUAUUCUCUAUAUUUCCCCACCAUCUACAAGGAAUCCUCAUUAUCCUCCACCUUAUUUUUCUUCUCUCAUUACUGCCCCUACCGAUUCUGUUCCAUCUCUUCCACCUUCCUCUCCUACUUUACCACAAUUCUCUAUUCCAGCCUCCACUCUUGAUCCUCCUUCACUUCCAAACCGAACCAUUGUUACUCGUAGCCAAAAUGGUAUUUUUAAACCCAAAAAAAUAUUCAGCCUUGUUAUCCAAACUACCGUAGCUGAACCCUCCUCUUUCAAAGAAGCAAUGUUGCAUCCUGACUGGCAAGCUGCUAUGAAAACUGAGUAUGAUGCUCUUAUUACCAAUUCCACAUGGACAUUGGUUCCCAAACCUGUUAACAAACCAUUAUUGGUUGUAAAUGGAUAUACAAGCUGAAACUCAAUGCUGAUGGCUCAGUUGAUCGUUUUAAAGCCCGCUUAGUUGCAAAGGGUUUUAAUCAAACCAACUACUAUACGAAUUGUUCUUUCUCUUGCUAUAUCUCAUGGUUGGUUAGUGAAACAAUUAGAUGUUAAUAAUGCCUUUCUCAAUGGUGAGUUAGAAGAAGAGGUUUACAUGGUUCAACCUCCAGGCUUUGUUGAUCAUUCUAAACCCGGUUUUGUCUGUAAACUUCACAAAGCCUUGUAUGGUCUAAAGCAAGCUCCUCAGGCAUGGUUCACCAAAUUGAAGAACUCUUUACUUGCUUGGGUUUCUCUUGUUCUUUAUCUGAUUCCUCUAUGUUUCUUUUUUGGAAAGGGACUGUUGUCAUCUAUAUUGAUGACAUUAUUGUUACUAGUUAGUCCACCAAGUGGUUUCUUCUUUACACUCUUAGUUUGCUCUCAAGGGCCUUGGUAUUCUGAAUUACUUCUUGGGUGUUGAAGUAUGUUGGCAAGGAUCUUCUCUUCAUCUCUCCUAAACCAAAUAUAUUCAGGACUUGUUAACUCAUGUUGGACUUGCAGAUUGUAAAGCUAUUGCUACACCAAUGACUACCUCUCACACUUUAUCUGCCUCUGAAGGUUCCCUCUUGGCUGACCCUUCUCAAUAUUGCAGCAUUGUUGGAGCCCUGCAAUAUUGUACCAUUAGAAGGCCUGACAUCUCUUUCUCCGUCAAUAAACUUUGCCAAUUCAUGCAAUCACCAGCUAAUCUUCAUUGGUAAGUUGUUAAGCGAUUGUUGUGCUAUCUUAAGGGCACUACUUCCUUUGGUCUUUCCUUUCAUUCUUCUUCUAAUCUUCAACUUACUGCUUAUGCUGAUGCUGAUUGGGCUGGUUGCCCUGAUGAUCAUCGAAGUACAAGUGGUCAUUGCAUCUUUUAUGGCUAUAAUCUAGUCUCUUGGAGCUCCAGUAAGCAGAAAGUUGUGUCUUGUUCCAGCACUGAAGCUGAAUAUAGGGCCUUAGCAAAUGCUGCUUCUAAACUUCAGUGGAUUCAACAUCUUCUUCAGGAGCUCUCUAUCUCAUCUUCCUCUUCUCCUAUUCUAUUCUAUGACAAUCUUUUAGCCACAUUUCUUGCUGCAAAUCUUAUUUUUCAUUCUCGAGUCAAACAUGUGGAACUAGAUUGUCAUUUUGUUCGGGAAAAAGGUGCUCAAUAAGACUUUGGUGGUUCAACACAUUCUUUUUUGUGACCAAAUUGUUGAUGCUCUUACCAAAGCCUUACCCGUUCAACAAUUUCUCAAUCUACGAAGCAAACUCACUGUUCUAGCUAGACCUUUGAGUUUGAGGGGGGAUGUUAAGCCAUGUACGGUUGUAACUAAACAACAUUAGUUAGAAACCUGUAACUAACCUCUAACUAGUUGAUCAGUUCUGGUAGUGUUAGAUAAUCAGUUAUAAGGCAUAACUAACUUCAAAUACAUGUAUAUAUGUUGAGUCACGGCUCACAAAAACUAGAGAUGGACCUCAGAAAAUAGAGAAUUCAAAAGAUUCAAGAAUACUCUGUUCUACCAUGUUUUUUAGUUUUCAUUCCUUUCAGCUUUUCACUUCACACAGUCUAGAUAUCAUUAGCAAUUUGAAAUUGGAUUAUGCAAAACCCAUCGUGGCUGAAAACAUUGUGGCAAAGGUUAUUUGUGAUGGUGCAAUUGAUGUCAUAUGGGAUCAUUUCAAUGGCUGGAUGGUAUCAAAAGAGACUGGAGAUGUCAACUUCCCAAUUGAGCUGCAAAUUGCUUUCAACUCACAUAUUGCUCUUUACAUGAACAUGCCCAAUGAAGCCGUUUGAGCCCUUUGGUACCCACCAAGUUCCUAUGACCAAUACCCAUUUACCCAUUUAUCUCACUACUGUUUCCAUCCUACACCUACAAACUCAUUUCAUCUCACCACUAUUAUCACCAUCAUCCAUUACACCCAUCUCAAUUCUCAUAUCUCCCAUUUUUUUAUCCCACCACCCAAUAUAUUCCUCUCUUCAUGCCCACUAUCCUUUCAUACCCAUGCAUUUUGCUACUUGAUCUCUAUAUCUUCCAUACCCAUAUCUCAUACCUCCCACGCAGAUACUCAUCAAGCCAUCCCACUAAACCCACUUCUCUCUCUCAGCCUAUUCAUACCCAUUUCUUACACCCUAUAGUUGCCACCCUCAUUCAUCCAUCUUAUCUACCCAUGAAAUCACUAUACUCAUAAAAUCUCAUUACCCUUCAUCUCUCAUUCCAUUUAGGCUAACCCAUUUUUUUUCAUUUCCCGAUACCCUCCCAUUAAUCUCCAACUUCAUAUUCCAUACCAUACCCACCAUAUGAUCAAUAUUCGGACCCAUUCUCUUUGUAAUCCCGUGUACGUAGUCAUCUUCUCUGGUCCCCAUACAAUCAUCCACCUAUACCCUACACUCUACCCUACCUGCAUGUCACUUUUUUCCUGUUACCCUAUCUUCAUGGCGUGCAUGAUAUCUUUCAACAAAGGCAGGAAUAUCGGCUUGAUAGGACAAGUUUCUCAAGCUAUUCAUCGUGGAGACGUACAUGCUCUUGAGGGCAUUCCAGAACUCUGACAAGCAAAGAAGUAACGUUUGGAAGACAACGUAUGUGGUCGACACGCACUAAAGAAGGGCCAGAAUAAUGAACAAGUUGUUUGAAACUGGGAUGAAGAUAGGUAUGGAAACAACAUAUUGAAAGAAAGAAAGAUCUACACAUCAACCGUUUUAUAGUUGUGUUCAUAACCUCACAGAACCCACUUAUGAGCGUCAUUGUUAUGACCUUCAUCAAUGAGACGCUUGCCUCUUACUCUGCCUCAUCUUGCACUUUUCGGCUACAGUCGGAUUUCAGUAAGGCUUGGGAAGUCUUUGUUUGGUCCAUCCUCGAUCUAAAGACUUGGAACAUCUAAGGAAUUAUACUCCGAGGCACCCUGUUGUGAUCCUUCCAAUCUGCCCUCAAAUACGGACACCCAUUGUCAAUGAUCCUGCCUUUUGGGAACGGUUGAGUCUGGAUGCUUUCGGCAUCGACACCUUGCUCUUUAUAUUUUACUAUCUACAAAAUACUUAUGGGCAAUAUUUUUGCUGCAAAAGAACUAAAUCAGCCAUCGUGGAAAUACCAUAGGAAAUGCAUGUUCUUGUUAAUGGGAAUGAUGAUAUCUUGAACUUUGAGACCACUAUUUAGCCGAAUGAAAGGGUCAACUGUGUUUUCUAACAACGCUGAUCUAACAGAAGACCAUAACUUGCUUCUCGAUGUUACUUUUGUUGGUGAUGGAUGGAAAGGAACUGGCAAGUGGAGAAUAUUUCCCAAGAACCAAUGGGCCAUAAUUAUGUUAAUAGACAUCACUCCAUGUCUUUGGUCCUUCACAUGUAAGUUGUUUUGGUGAGUAAAGUCACAUGGACUCAUUGGAGAAGACUGGUGCUGCAAUUAAUUCAUUCUCAUCGAAACGACCAAUUGGCAGUGUUGUAGCUAUCAUUGAGAGGCCUCCUUGUGUUGUUGUUGGUUUUCCUAGUGUUAAGGAGUGGCUUACUAGCCGUGUACUUCACAGAAAGAGCGCUAAAAUGAACAAAAAAACUUAUUUGUCACUGUCUGAUAGUGAGUACAUCGAAUUGACACCGACUGACCCUAAAUUUUCAAAUAUGGUGGUUCCUGUGAAAGGCUUGCCUAACUGCAUCAAGAAACGAAUGGAAGAUGGAGAUGCAUCAAUGGAAACGGAGCUUGUAGCUGCACAAAUCGGUGAUUGGGAGGAAGGAAAGUUCUCUUCCCCUAAUUCAUGUCGUGCAUAUUUUUGGGCGAUGAGGAAAUUGAAAGAAGAAGAGAUCUUAGGGAUUUGUGCUUAUUUACUAUUGAUCCUUCUAUUGCCAUUGAUUUUGAUGAUGCUCUAUUAGUUGAAAAACUAUCUGGUGGCAAUCUCAAAGUGGGGGUCCAUAUUGCUGAUGCAUACGAGAGGCAGCUUCAGAAUGAUCUAUUUGGGACGCAAGAUAUGAUGAGUGGUGAGUCCCAAGGUCCCAAGAUUAUGAACCCCGUACUGAAAUGAUGGAGCUUUGGAGUUCUUAACAGAGGCCUCAAGAUAAUUCUUUUCAAUGCCAAGAAUGGAAUGUGUUUACACUUGCUGAUGAUGUUACUAAAGAAGCUUUGGUGACAAUUGUCAUAGAAAAUUUCAGAAUGGUAAACAGAUUCUCUUAGGGCAUGAGCAUAGAAGAUAGAAAGAGACCCCUGUUUCUGCAAGCAUUCAUUUCCACCCUGGCACAUAUUCUUGCAUCUUUGCAUAACCACCUUGGACAUGCAGCUUUUGACCAUGUGUCAUCUCCUUUUAUUUUCUCAUUCUCUGAUUUUGAAAAUAAUCUUCCUAAAACCCAUUUUGUAAGUAAUUUCUACAAUUCUUGUUUUAAAAUAUUUUCAAAUCUCCAAAUUUUUCCAUCAUUAGCAUUUUUUUAGGUUCCAAAAAUCCUUUUUCCAAUAAAAUUUGCCGCCAUCUUCUUCCCGGCAAGCCUCAUUUUCACAUCUUCCAUGAUUCUUAAAGUGUUUUAAAAUAAGCGUGAAUUUAAUCCCUUAAUUCCAAAUAAUUGAGUUAUUAGAAUUGAUUCAUGCAAAAUAAAAUGAGAUUUGAUGGGAGCCUAACAUAUGUGAUUUUAUGAUUGAUUGCUAUAUUUGUUUGAAUUAUUCCACUUCAUGACAUGCAUACGAUUAUUCUGUGUUUGUUUACUGACAUUUGUUUUCCCUAAAGUAAACUAGUUCAUCACUCAGGUACGUUCUUUGUUUCUCAUAUUCAUUCGGGUAUUUUGUUGUGUUUUUCAUUCAAUAUCCAUUGAUUUACUCAUCAAUCGUCAUGCUUACUUCAUUUUAUUAGUAGAGACUCGUUUUUAGGGACUUAGAGGGAUGUUACAGUCUUUACCGUACCUUCCCGAUAAGUAACCCGACCCUCGAGCCUCGAUUCGGUUUUUCGCGGACCAUCUUUUCCAAAAUAAGGAGUUACAUUUAAGAUUUUCUUUCUUAUUUUAUUUACCCUUUAAAAAUAAAACAAAAAUAAGUGACGACUCCAAGUCAUUUUUCUAAAAAAUAAAAAUAAAUAAUUUUUCAAAUAAAAAUCGAGCUCGCCAUCGAGUGGAAGCGCAUGAGCCAAAAUACGGGGUUCACAAUAAUAUAUUUAAAAAUAUUAAAAAUAGUUUAAAAAUAGUUUAAAAAUAUUUUAGGUUUUAAACAUACUUUUGUUUUGCAAAACAUAAAAAAACAAUUUUUAAAAAACUAUAAUCAAUUUAAAAAAAAAAAAAUCAAAAGCAGUUAUUAAACAAUAUAUAAGUUUAAUAUUUCAAAAGUACUAAAAAAUGAUUUUUUUUUCCUUAUUUUAUUUUAAUAUAGAAAAAAUAAAAAAUAAUUAAUUUUUUUUAAAACUUAUAUUUAUUAUUAUUUUUAUCAUUUCCCUCUAUUUUCUUUUUCUCACAUUUUUCCCCCAUUUUCUUAAACCAAAUAUGUUUUUUUUUAACAAAAUUUUAGAUAAAAAAAAACUUCAUUAACAAAUUUCAUAUAUUCCAAAGGAUUACGGAUGGUGAGGUGGGGGGUUGUGUGUGGUGGAAGUGGAACCGCCCAAAAAGUUUCAGUCUCUUCCUUGACAAACUUUUAACUGUAGUGCACUAAACGGCAUCCACACCUUCUGAAUAUGCUCCAUUCAAUGUAGCAUAUUAUUUGCUUUUUUCAAAUUCAAACCGACGCUUUACGACUUUAAAAAAGAAAGAAAGAGAAUAAGGGAAUCAAGAUUGAAAUAUUUAUAAAUUAUAAAAUUUAUUAAAAAACAGAACAUGUAUAAUUUUAUUCUUAUGCCCUUGUUUCUGAAAAAGGGAAUGGAAGGGAAAAUAAAAUAUAAAAAAAAUCAAAAUUAGAAUUAAAAAUUUCAUUUAGAUGUUUGCAAAUUACAAUAUUUUCGAAAAAAGAAAUUCAACUCGAUUUCUAGUAAAGUAUUUUUAUUGAAAGUGUUUUCUUUAACGAUAUUUUUGUAAAAAAACAUUUUUAUGAGAAUUUAGAAAAGUAAUUCAAAAAAUAUUUUUGGUAAUAUAUUACAUAAGUAAAAAAAAUAUUUUUAAUAAUAAUAAAUUACUAAAAAUGACCAUUAUUAAAAAAAGAAAAUAUUAUAAUAAAACCAAAACUUUUAUCACACAAAUAUAUAUAAACAUUUAUAUUAUUAAAAAAAAACUCACAAAUCAUUUUUAUAAAAAGAAAGUGAAAGAGGAAAAAGAGAGUAAAAAAGAAAUGGAAGUGCUUCUCUAAAAAACACUUUUAGGGUUUUUUUAAAUUUUCAAAAGUGUUUUUUAAAAUAUUAUCGAAUACCUUUUAUUUUUUUUACCAUAAAAAGGUUUUUAAAUGCUUUUAGGACUAUAAUUAUCUAAUGGAUAGAGUCCAUAUGAAAGUAAUUUUAAAACACACUUUUAGCUUAAGAAAACAUUUUAAAAAAAAGUUCAAGAAUUGGGUAAAAUUUAAGAAGUGCUUUUAAAAGUUGAAAAAUCACUUACAAUACUUACCCGAGAAACACCUAAUAAUCGAUUUUUUUUUUUAAAAAAAUGCUUUUAGAGAGCAUUUCAAUGAAACAAAAUUGAAAAAUCACUUAUAGUGAUUCAAGGAAUUUAGGAGAGAAAGUUAGAAAUGAAAUGCUCAUUGAUCACAAACUAUUUUAAUGGAGCAACUAGAGCUAAGAGGAAAGCCCAUGGCAUUUUAAGAAGCCAAUACAAACAAGAUCUAAGCCUCUUCUAGGCUCCCUUGGACACAUCAUAAUGCAGAGAGACAUAUCCUUUCAGGCAUUUGGUAGUUCAUCUGAGAACGGAGAAAUUAAAUUCUAAAUGCUAAUGCAAGAAUAGAAAGAAGAAAAGCACAUCAGCACUCAAAGAUUGCCAGUCAAAGUGGGCUCUCAGAUUUCCUAUGGUACCCUGAAAGGAUUUAUACCCGUCUUCUAAGAACACGGGCAUGCACGCACGGACACAGAUUCUGUUGGUACAGACUGAAGAAGGAAUACCUAUAUCUCGACAGUAGUUCUUCUCUAGGCUUGUCAAUGAGAGCAUCAGAACAGCUGUAGUUUCCUUUUCUCACCCAAAAACAAGAAUCAUACAAUGAGAUGAAUCUAUUGGGCAGAUUGGUCUCCUUCCUGGGUUUUUGGUGAUUCAUCCGAGAAUCCAGAUGAAGAACCCAAAUGCAAAGAAAGUUCAACGCUAAAUGCCCAAAAAAGAAUUGGAAAUAGAAGACCAAUUACCCUUCUUGAAGAGGUUCAAGAACAGGGCAGGCAGCUAGGCGUGCCCAGAGUCUUUGGUGGUGAGACCUCUUAUAUAGUCAGAGGCAGAUCCCUUGAACUUCCUACCAUCCACAAUGUCAAUAUUCAAUACAACCAAAACAGCCAAGAGGGCAGACCCGAAAGAGGAAUAAUACAGUUGUUUUCAAGCCAUUUCAAGGUCUUCACUUUCACAAGACUAACAAUUCUCAACUCACCCCAUGCAUCAUGCAAUGAGAAAAACAUCUUGCUUAUAUAUGUCCAGCAAAUGAUCGAAUGACAAACACGAGGACUAUGUUGACUUGAUGUAUGCGUUAUCGAAUUGAUUUUGAAUAUGUUGAUUUCUAUGUUUUUUGGAGAGCUUGAUGUUUGGUUUUUUAUUUCUCAUUUCUCUGAGAAGAAUUUGAUUUCCUUUUAAUUGCAUUUUGUCAUAGGAUGUUAUUUUCUUUUUCUCGUCACGAGAAAAAGAAAAAUAACAUCNNNNNNNNNNNNNNNNNNNNNNNNNNNNNNNNNNNNNNNNNNNNNNNNNNNNNNNNNNNNNNNNNNNNNNNNNNNNNNNNNNNNNNNNNNNNNNNNNNNNAAAUAACAUCCUAUAACAAUAUACAUUUAAAAUNAAAUCAAAUUAUUCUCAUAUACAACAAAAAAAAGAAAUAAAAAAUCAAACAUUAAGCUCUCAAACAAACAUAGAAAUCAACAUAUUCAAAAUCAAUUCUAUAACGCAUACAUCAAGUCACAUAGACAUGUAUGAUUUUUUAUUUCUCAUCAAGUCAAAAUGAAUAUGUUGAUUUCUAUGUUUGUUUGAGAGUUUGAUGUUUGAUUUUUUAUUUCUCAUACACAACAAAAGAAAUGAGAAAUAAAAAAUCAAACAUCAAGCACACAAACAAGCAUAGAAAUCAAAAUAUCACUUCAAUAACAUUUUUUUUUUUUUUUUGAUAGGUAACAUAUCACUUAAAUAACAAAUAUAAACUAAGGAUUCAAUCUGUCUAGGAAAGGAAGAGAAAACCAAGCUCUACCAGGAAAAUAAAAAACAAAAACAUAUCCUUUCAGCUAGGGAUGGUUUUCUCACUUGAAGCACUUGGCAUCCAGAAGAGCCUCUCCCUCAAAAGGCUCCUGAUCUUCUAUCAUCUGAUUCACACGCUCCUUUUGGGCCUCAUCCGAGAUGUCAACCUUCUUCCACUCAUAGAGUUCCAUGUCAUAGCACUCAUCAAUUAUAAAUUGAGGUAUCUCUUGCCCGCGGAAAAGCCACAGCCCCUUCACCUUGAAUGGGGCCUCUGAGCCGAUUACAAGCAUCUUCCCAAAAGCAUACUUGCGUGCCAGAUCCAUCCGCUGAAGGAAUCCACCAACCUUGUUCAGAGUUACGAAUGAGACGGUAUUCUCGUCAUUGUAUUUGUAAUCACAGAACCAAAGAGAGUAUCCCUCGGGAUCGUACAUGUCCCAGAAUCCUGCAUAAUCAUGAACAUAUUCAUUGUGAACUUCAAAGUUUUAAACCUUGAAGAAUGAGAAGUAGAAAACAGAGCAACCAUAGCAACUUAUCAACUAGGCUUGUUGUCACAGCUUAGCUGCCCAGGCCCACAAAAUAAGUAUAAAUAAUAACAAUUGCUCAGUCAGAGUUCCAAUUAUUCCUAUGUGGGAAGGCCUAAUAUAGUGGACUGACUAUGUCAAGUCAAAUUCACCUGUAAUGGGCUUGCAUCAAUAAGGAUUAUCAUUUAUAGAAGCAUGAGAAAAGAGGCUUGCAUCCAUAACAGAUUUCUUUUGUCAUUUUUUUUUAUAAAAAAAAAGAAAAAGAAAGAGAGAUACCUUUAAUUGCAACCUCACGGAAAUUGGUCUUGGUAUUUGAGUAGAGUCUCUUCCAUUCAUCCAGAAUCAUCUUACUUGGGGGCAGCAGAUCAAGAGGAUUCUUAGGUUUGGGUUUUGGUGCUUCUUCCUCUUCCCCAACAGGAGCCUCUUUGGGCUUUGCUGGCUCCUUCUUGACUUCUUUCUUUGGUUCAUCCUUGUGCUUUGGUUUGGCAUGUUCUUUUGGCAGGGCAGGCUUCUUUGCAGACGAAACAGGUGGGACUGAUGCAGUUUGCUUUACCUCACCCAAGAUCUUGCUGAAAUUUGGUUGAUUAACCAUGGUCCAGAAGUAUCUCUCAACAUGAGGGAACUCCGAGGUAAAGCUCUUAGUCAUGAGCUUACUGAAUCCCAUAUACAAAUUGCAUGUCAUGACAAUGUCAGCCAGGGUGACAGAAUGCCCCACCAGGAAAGUGUUUGAAGCAAGAUGUGUGUUCAAAGCACCUAAUGCUCUCUUCAAUGCAGCAAUUGCAGCCUCCUCAAACUAUACACAGAAAACUAUGAUCAGGAAGGAUUAAACAAUCAAGGAGCUAAACUGGAAAGCAAAAUGGUAGAAUGCAUUCAUGAUGUAAGAACAUUAAAAUUUUUGUGAAGAAUAAUAGAUUAAAGAACCAUAUUACAACUACAAAUGAACCCUAAAAAUGUC